rnacentral:rRNA from 1 species
GCUUAACUUUGGAACUGCAUUUUUAACUACCGGGCUAGAGUGUGUCAGAGGGAGGUGGAAUUCCGCGUGUAGCAGUGAAAUGCGUAGAUAUGCGGAGGAACACCGAUGGCGAAGGCAGCCUCCUGGGGUCGCACU